UACGUAGGGUGCAAGCGUUGUCCGGAAUUACUGGGCGUAAAGCGUGCGCAGGCGGCGCGUUAAGACAGGUGUGAAAGCCCCGAGCUUAACUUGGGAAUUGCGCUUGUGACUGGCGAGCUGGAGUGUGGCAGAGGGAGGUGGAAUUCCACGUGUAGCAGUGAAAUGCGUAGAGAUGUGGAGGAACACCGAUGGCGAAGGCAGCCUCCUGGGCCAGCACUGACGCUCAUGCACGAAAGCGUGGGGAGCAAACAGG
rnacentral:rRNA from 1 species